rnacentral:lncRNA from 1 species
AUAACUUUUAGGAAAAAAUAAAAAUCCCUGACAGGGUGGGGCAUUACAAGGCAGAGGGCUGGGAGUGGAAAAGCCCAGGUGGGGGCAUUGCCACGGUGCCAUUUGGGGCCAGGUGCAGAGUGGUGGGUGCUGCAAACAUCCCCAAAUGUCUACAGCAACCACUGAAAGCAAGAAAACUCAUUCUUCUGUACAGUGAUUAGCUUUUCAGGCUCAGACUUGAAGUGUUUUAUGUCCUGGCUCAGAAGAUACAUUACUCCCUAUCAGUAAGAAUGACCAGAGGCAAGACUGAUGUUUUCUUUAAGUUUACAGGUUGUCAAGAUCUGCAGCCUGAUGUGACAGAGAAAGAGGUACAAGGAAAAACUGCAAGGCUUAUCAAUCCAGCCAAGGAAGCUGCAAUGUGAUGAUCAUCUGCUCCCAACAUCUCCCCUUGUCUUCUUGUCUGUCCUCAAUGUUAAACUUACUACAUGAGAGGACAACAAAAACAUGGGAUCAAAGAAUUAGGGAGCGAUCAUGAUGGAGCAAAAAGCAUUUUGCUUAUGUAGGGUUAUAACACGAAAGGCAAAAAUAAAG